GCAGCGGUGUCCGAGUGGUUAAGGAGUUUGACUCGAAAUCAAAUGGGCUCUGCCCGCGUAGGUUCGAAUCCUGCCCCCCGCUGCG
rnacentral:tRNA from 1 species